UUCACAAGCAAACCGAGCACGACGGCACCAUUCCCUUCUCUUGCCGGGAUUUUGAUUUGUAAUUAAGUUUAAGAAAUUAGGGUUUGUGAAGAAUUUCGGGAUUUGGGAGUUCGGGCGUUUCGUAUCUGCGGCAAAGCACUACUCGGAACCACUCCACAGCAGCAGCGGAGUGACGGACGACAGCCCGCGGUGGUGGUUGACGGAGCUUGCUAGGAUGAUUGGUGAAUGGUGGUUCCUUCAAUGUCAGAAAUUAAAGCCAUGGUUGCUGACAUGCUAGACUUGCGUUUCGCGGAUGAUUCUUUUGAUGUGGUUAUUGAGAAAGGAACAAUGGAUGUAUUGUUCGUGGACAGUGGUGAUCCGUGGAACCCAAAACCUGAAACCGUAAGCAAGGUAACGACAAUGCUUCAAGGCAUCAUCGGGUCUUGAAGCCAGAUGGUAUCUACAUAUCAAUUUCUUUUGGGCAGCCACACUUCAGGCGUCCGUUAUUUGAAGCUCCUAAUUUUACAUGGUCUAUGAAAUGGAGUACCUUUGGUGAUGGAUUCCAUUAUUUCUUCUACACUCUAAAGAAGG